rnacentral:rRNA from 1 species
UCGAGAAUUUUUCACAAUGGGCGCAAGCCUGAUGGAGCGUCGCCGCGUGGGGGAUGAAUGGCUUCGGCCCGUAAACCCCUGUCAUUUGCGAUCAACCGUUAUAUUUAAAAGAUGAUAACCUGAUAGUAGCGAAAGAGGAAGGGACAGCUAACUCUGUGCCAGCAGCCGCGGUAAUACAGAGGUCCCAAGCGGUGUUCGGAUUUACUGGGCGUAAAGGGUGCGUAGGUGGCGGUGUAAGUCGGAUGUGAAAUCUCCGAGCUCAACUCGGAAACUGCAUUGGAAACUACAUUGCUCGAGGGUUGGAGGGGGGACUGGAAUACUUGGUGUAGCAGUGAAAUGCGUAGAUAUCAAGUGGAACACCAGUGGCGAAGGCGAGUCCCUGGACAACUCCUGACACUGAGGCACGAAAGCUAGGGGAGCAAACAG